rnacentral:rRNA from 1 species
AUGGCUCAGUAGGCCUCAGGCCUGGAUGGAAGAGGUUGGCACCGCACUUCCAGCCCGAAGCUGGUCAAACUCGGUCUUUAGAGGAAGUAAAAGUCCUAACUGGGUUUCCGUAUGAGAAUCUGC